CUCAUUUUUGUGCUGCUUGAAAACAGACCAAGCACUGCCCUAACUUUCCAGGACUGCAUUUCAUUCUAUUCAGCAUAGAGCCGUCUUGUCUUGUCUGUACAGAGUGAUCUCAUUCAUCCAGGCAGGAGUAUCUUCAGAAUUUUUCCAGUUGGGCAGAUGGCCAGAAGCUGCAGAAGGACCUGUCUGUCCUACUGUGUUGCCAUUACUGCAGGUCAUCAAGAGGCCACCCAAUACUCCACUGGGGGUGGUAUGUUUUAUGGAGGACAACUCUCCAAGACAGAGCUUCACAAAAGGGUCAUAAUGCAGGACCCACCUUAAAGACCUUAUCAUGUUACUUGAUGUUGUGCUUUAAUAGUACACGUUCCCAUGUUCCCAAACAAAAUUACAAUUUACCACAAACCCAUUGCAACAUAGUGAUCCGUGUGAGGUUCGAUGAGGCUGUUGAGGCCCCCUGGGAAUCUGGGAAUGUGUAAAGUUUGUAGAACAGGGUAACUUACAGGGUAAUAUUCACAUGCAGCAAACACCA